rnacentral:rRNA from 1 species
UACAGAGGGUGCGAGCGUUAAUCGGAAUUACUGGGCGUAAAGAGCACGUAGGUUGCUUAGCAAGUUGGAUGUGAAAUCCCCGGGCUUAACCUGGGAGCUGCAUUCAAAACUACUAAGCUAGAGUAGAGUAGAGGGAAGUGGAAUUUCCGGUGUAGCGGUGAAAUGCGUAGAUAUCGGAAGGAACACCAGUGGCGAAGGCGGCUUCCUGGACUCAUACUGACACUGAGGUGCGAAAGCGUGGGGAGCAAACAGG